rnacentral:rRNA from 1 species
UCCGUAGGCGGGCGUCUAAGUCAGUGGUGAAAUCUUACAGCUCAACUGUAAAAUUGCCAUUGAUACUGGAUGUCUUGAAUUAGUGUGAAGUGGUUAGAAUGUGUAGUGUAGCGGUGAAAUGCAUAGAUGUUACACAGAAUACCAAUUGCGAAGGCAGAUCACUAACACUAUAUUGACGCUGAGGGACGAAAGCGUGGGGAGCGAACAGGAUUAGAUACCCUGGUAGUCC